rnacentral:tRNA from 1 species
GAGUCAUAGCCAAGUGGUAAGGCACGGGACUGCAACUCCCUGAGCGUUGGUUCAAAUCCGACUGGCUC